ensembl:snoRNA
UGGCGAGAUGAUGGCAGUCAUCUUUCGAGUCUGACCUGAAAUGAAGAGAAUACUCAUUGCUUGAUUAUUU